rnacentral:tRNA from 1 species
UACAUUAUGGUGUAUAAGCACAAAAGAUUUUGAUUCUUUAGGAAUAUAUAGAUUAUUUAAUGUAA